ensembl:lncRNA
GGGGUACAGACCCCACAAGGGCCCUAUAUAGGGGUACAGACCCCACACAGGCUCUAUAUAGGAAUACAGGUCCCACGCAGGCCCUAUAUAGGGGUACAGGCCCCACACAGGCCCUAUAUAGGGGUACAGGUCCCACGCAGGCCCUAUAUAGGGGUACAGGUCCCACGCAGGCUCUACAUAGAGGGGUACAGGCCCCACACAGACCCUAUAUAGGGGUACAGGUCCCAUGCAGGCUCUACAUAGAGGGGUACAGGCCCCACACAGGCCCUAUAGAGGGGUACAGGUCCCACGCAGGCUCUACAUAGAGGGGUACAGGCCCC